GAAAGCUGCAAGUUUUCCCAGUUGGCUAAAAACGUCCUGCCGUGACAGUUCCAGUGCGCCGAGCCAGAGCAAUAUCCUUCGAAAGGCUGUCGUGGCAACAUACACACUUUCACAUACACAUCCAGAACCAGAUCCAGAUCCAGCCGAUACCCCCGUGGAGUGGAGUGAAAAUUCAUUGACGAUUGGGGGGCGAAAAAGCUCUGGCCAAAAGCGAGUGAGAAAAGGGCAAACAGGAGCGAGAGCGAUAGCGAAAGCGAAAGCAAAAGCGCAACCCUCGACAACAAAAACAACGAAGCGAGUUCAGCUGCACCACCCACACCAUACCACCACUACAACCUCGUAACCACCGCCACAACCACAUACCGACCGUUGGGCCAAGUGCAUAGAGUAAUCAUCAUUAAAAUCAUCGUCGCACCGCCAGCCGAAUUCGUAGAGACAACCACCACGGGCUGCAACAGCACCACCUGAAGAAACCACUCAGAAAAAACCGAAAACACAACCCAACACAGAAAUAGCACAGAAACCGAGGUAAAGCUCUCAGUUUUUUGUGAGGCUCUGAAAUGGGCAAGAAAGACAAGAACAAGGAACCGGCGGACGCUGCACCAGCUGGCGAUGCACCACCAAAUGCCGGAGCUCCGGCCGGAGAGGGCGGCGAUGGCGAGAUUGUGGGCGGGCCACACAAUCCCCAGCAGAUUGCGGCACAGAAGCGUCUCCAGCAGACACAGGCGCAGGUCGAUGAGGUGGUCGACAUCAUGCGCACAAAUGUGGAGAAGGUGCUGGAGCGCGACAGCAAGCUGUCGGAGCUGGACGAUCGUGCCGAUGCCUUGCAGCAAGGUGCCUCGCAGUUCGAGCAGCAGGCGGGCAAGCUCAAGAGGAAAUUCUGGCUCCAGAACUUGAAGAUGAUGAUCAUCAUGGGCGUGAUUGGACUGGUUGUCGUGGGUAUCAUUGCAAAGAAAGACGAAGAGUAAAUACACUGAACGCCUUAGCUUCUUUGUACAAUUUUCUUAUUCAACACAAUUUAUUGACAAAAAAAAAACGAAAAAUUAUUAAAUCAAAUACUAAAAAGCACUUUAUAUUUGUGAGAUAAACUCGGCCUCAUAGGCGGGGAGCAGCCGCCCCAGUACCAGUAUCCCCCGCAGUACAUGCAGCCACCGCCGCCGCCGCCGCAGC
rnacentral:misc_RNA from 1 species